rnacentral:rRNA from 1 species
GACGAACGCUGGCGGCGUGCCUAACACAUGCAAGUCGAACGGAAAGGCCCCGUUCGGGGUACUCGAGUGUCGAACGCGGGAGUAAGAGGAGAGCAAGCGGAACCUGCCUUUGGGAGAACGACAGCAUACUGGGGCGAAUACUGGUAACGAAUCCUAGCUGCAAGCACGGGGUUGGAGAGUGUCGGAGGUUUUUGCUGGACUCGCGGCUUAUCAGCUUGUUGGUUGGGUAGUGGCUUACCAAAGCGUUGACGGGUAGCCGGCCUGAGAGGGCGACCGGCCACCUUGGGCCUGAGGGACGGCCCAGACUCCUACGGGCGGCAGCAGUGGGGAAUCUUGCCCAAUGGGCGGAAGCCUGAUGCAGAAGCGCCGCGUGCGGGAUGACGGGCUUCGGGUUGAAAACCGCUUUCAGCAGGGGCGAAGCUUGUGGUGACGGUACCUACACAGGAAGCUCCGGCUAACUACGUG